UAGGGAAUCUUCGGCAAUGGGGGCAACCCUGACCGAGCAACGCCGCGUGAGUGAAGAAGGUUUUCGGAUCGUAAAACUCUGUUGUUAGAGAAGAACGUUAAGUAGAGUGGAAAAUUACUUAAGUGACGGUAUCUAACCAGAAAGGGACGGCUAACUACGUGCCAGCAGCCGCGGUAAUACGUAGGUCCCAAGCGUUGUCCGGAUUUAUUGGGCGUAAAGCGAGCGCAGGUGGUUUCUUAAGUCUGAUGUAAAAGGCAGUGGCUCAACCAUUGUGUGCAUUGGAAACUGGGAGACUUGAGUGCAGGAGAGGAGAGUGGAAUUCCAUGUGUAGCGGUGAAAUGCGUAGAUAUAUGGAGGAACACCGGAGGCGAAAGCGGCUCUCUGGCCUGUAACUGACACUGAGGCUCGAAAGCGUGGGGAGCAAACAGG
rnacentral:rRNA from 3 species